GUGUUCUAUGAAAGGAGAGAAGGUUAGCCCUCCCCUUGACAAGGAUGGAAGAGGCCAUUGGGCCUGACAAUAUCCACACGGAUAAGGCAUUGCCACCUACAUUGUGACAUUUAACCAUUGUUUUAU